UGCUUCAGUAGCAAUAUACUAAAAUUGGAAUGAUACUGAGAGGAUUAGCACAGCCUCUGUAGUUGACAGGUUAAUUCAUGAAGACAAAGGACAAAACAGUAUU
rnacentral:snRNA from 1 species